rnacentral:rRNA from 1 species
CACGUAGGGGGCUAGCGUUGUCCGGAAUCAUUGGGCGUAAAGCGCGUGUAGGCGGCCAGAUAAGUCCGGUGUGAAAGUCAAAGGCUCAACCUUUGAAUGCCGCUGGAAACUGUCUGGCUAGAGUCCGGAAGGGGCGAGUGGAACUCCUGGUGUAGCGGUGAAAUGCGCAGAUAUCAGGAAGAACACCUAUGGCGAAGGCGGGUCUCUGGGCCGAUACUGACGCUGAGGAGCGAAAGCGUGGGGAGCGAACAGG